UUUAACCCCAUCAGAGGAAGCAGUAUUGUAAACAAGUAAAUAUGUUUGAUUGAAUAGAUAGAGAUAGGUACUUAAAACUCGUGUUUGAUCCGGGGGGUGUUUUGCGAUAGGUCACCCCUCCCCUAAGGCCGGAUGGUUUUCAAAUCAAGAUUAUGACACCCUCCUUUGUGUUAGGAGCAUCUCUCAGUCUGAUCGUUAGUCAAUGGGGGUGCUAUCUAUAAUGUCACACACGCGCAUCCUGACCAAACGCGCGUGAGAAGAAAAGUUGAUCCGGGGGGGUGUUUUGCGAUAGCUUACCCCUCCUCUAAGGCCGGAUGGUUUUCAAAUCAAGAUUAUGACACCCUCCUUUGUGUUAGGAGCAUCUCUCAGUCUGAUCGUUAGUCAAUGGGGGUGCUAUCUAUAACGUCACACACGCGCAUCCUGAGCGGAAACGUGCACCUGAGCGGAAACACGCGUGAGAAAAAAGGAGCAAACGCCUGAGCGGACACGCCCACACGUGUAGGUAAAAAGUGAGAAUUUUCCGAAAAUUUGGCUAUGACUUCGCGUCUUUGGAUUUUUCACAACGGAACAGAACAUCUACGAUCUUCUAAGCAUUGAGAGCACGGCCUUUUCAAUAGGUAAGAGUUUAUUAUUAACUUUAUUGUAAAUUUAUAAGUAUUAGAAUGCUUAUCGUUUGAUAUUAUAACUAGUUGUAGUUGGGUUUAUACGUAAAGUCUGUUUUAAUUACAGAACAAGGCCAGCCUAUCUGACGCAAUUGUCUGUGAAAACAUAUCAAACAAACGCGACCCUUCCAGGGUAAUUUCAUUCUGACUCUUUGAUCUGUGUUUUUUCUUCAGUCGAUUGUUUUAUCAUAUAUUACAUUAUAAUCUAAAUGUUAUCUUUAUUUAUUUUUAGACAGUUGUAUUGAGAUUAUUUGCCGGCGACGAGUCUUCUACAACGCACGUGCUAGGCCUAAGAACGGGGGAACAUCCGGGGUCAAACAAUCGCGGCCCUUCCAGGACAGUUGUAUUGAGAUUAUUUCCCGCGACGAGCCUUCUACAACGCACGUGCUAGGCCUAAGAACGGGGAACAUCCGGGGUCUAUCCAAAAGUCGAUAGCUGUAGUAACCCCCACAGCUCAGACCAGUUUUACAAACUACGGAAGACACCGGAACAACGUCUGACUCCGAUAGUUCAGAUUUUUUUGGAUACCGUCAUUGAAGGAGUAAGAAACUACAAUCAACCCCC